rnacentral:rRNA from 1 species
CCGCAAGGCUAAAACUCAAAGGAAUUGACGGGGGCCCGCACAAGCGGCGGAGCAUGCGGAUUAAUUCGAUGCAACGCGAAGAACCUUACCAAGGCUUGACAUAUACCGGAAACGUUCAGAAAUGUUCGCCCCGCAAGGUCGGUAUACAGGUGGUGCAUGGUUGUCGUCAGCUCGUGUCGUGAGAUGUUGGGUUAAGUCCCGCAACGAGCGCAACCCUCGUCGUAUGUUGCCAGCACGUAAUGGUGGGAACUCAUAUGAGACUGCCGGGGUCAACUCGGAGGAAGGUGGGGAUGACGUCAAAUCAUCAUGCCCCUUAUGUCUUGGGCUUCACGCAUGCUACAAUGGCUGGUACAAUGGGCUGCAAUACCGCGAGGUGGAGCGAAUCCCAAAAGCCAGUCUCAGUUCGGAUUGGGGUCUGCAACUCGACCCCAUGAAGUCGGAGUCGCUAGUAAUCGCAGAUCAGCAACGCUGCGGUGAAUACGUUCCCGGGCCUUGUACACACCGCCCGUCAAGUCAUGAAAGUCGGUAACACCCGAAGCCGGUGGCCUAACCUUUUGGAGGGAGCCGUCGAAGGUGGGAUCGGUAAUUAGGACU